rnacentral:rRNA from 1 species
UACGGAGGGUGCAAGCGUUGUUCGGAAUCACUGGGCGUAAAGGGCGUGUAGGCGGUCCGCUAAGUCUGAUGUGAAAGCCCGGGGCUCACCCCCGGAAGGGCAUUGGAAACUGGCGGACUCGAGUCUCGGAGAGGAAGGUGGAAUUCCUGGUGUAGCGGUGAAAUGCGUAGAUAUCAGGAGGAAUACCUGCAGUGUAGACGGCUUACUGGACCAUAACUGACGCUGAGGCACGAAAGCGUGGGUAGCAAACAGG